UUUUUUUUUCUACAGUCCUCUUGUAUAAUCCAUGAUGCUCUUUUUAUGAUGCUAUUGUCACACUGGCUAUUGUCAUACUAUUUUUAACCCAUUCUCCUUCUUUAUGCUUUGAAUUCUCAUAGCACACCUGUUACUGGAAAAAGAAAACAAAAUCUGAACUCUUUUUUUAAUAAAUUAAUUUUUUAUUGGUGUUCAAUUUACCAACAUACAGAAUAACACCCAGUGCUCAUCCAGUCAAGUGCCCCCCUCAGUGCCCGUCACCCAUUCAUCCCCACCCCCUGCCCUCCUCUCCUUCCACCACCCCUAGUUCGUUUCCCAGAGUUAGGAGUCUUUAUGUUCUGUCUCCCUUUCUGAUAUUUCCCACACAUUUCUUCUCCCUUCCUUUAUAUUCCCUUUCACUAUUAUUUAUAUUCCCCAAAUGAAUGAGAACAUACACUAUUUGUCCUUCUCCGACUGACUUACUUCACUCAGCAUAAUACCCUCCAGUUCCAUCCACGUUGAAGCAAAUGGUGGGUAUUUGUCGUUUCUAAUAGCUGAGUAAUAUUCCAUUGUAUACAUAAACCACAUCUUCUUUAUCCAUCAUCUUUCGAUGGACACCGAGGCUCCUUCCACAGUUUGGCUAUUGUGGACAUUGCUGCUAGAAACAUCGGGGUGCAGGUGUCCCGGCGUUUCAUUGCAUCUGAAUCUUUGGGGUAAAUCCCCAACAGUGCAAUUGCUGGGUCGUAGGGCAGGUCUAUUUUUAACUCUUUGAGGAACCUCCACACAGUUUUCCAGAGUGGCUGCACCAGUUCACAUUCCCAAAAUCUGAACUCUUAAUACUAAUUUACCUGACAAUUCCCUUGUCUCCAUGUUUUUCUGUUCUAUCAAGACUCGCAGCCAAGGUUUGCAGUUCACCUGGCUUCAUUAUUUCUGGCUUGUGCCGACCUGGGGUAGAGGGAGCUCAGCCCUUCCUUGGGCUAUUAACCCUUCCUGCCUGCUAAGCACCCUGAUGCUCUGAGGAUUUUCUUAAUUAAGUAAUUGAGCCACAUACCAUCCUUGAAAAGUGGGGCAGUAAAUACCAUCAGUUCCAUGGCCUAGAGAGAUAAGAAAGACUGCACUGAAGACGCUAGAGCUUAUAUGACAAAACCAAUCACAAAUUUGAGUAGGUUAAGCAUGAGCUUAAACUUAAUUUUUGUUAUACUUUGCUCUUCUUCAUUUUUCAAAAUGCCCUCUUCAGGUCUCCCCUUUAGCUGCCUUUGGGGAAGCAACUAGGUAAAGAGGGGUGGAAAAAAAAAACCAGACUGAUUUGGGUUGAAAAUCCGGUUCCAUCAGAGCCUAUUCCUUUAUCUGUAAAAGGAGAAUAAUAUUCCCUACCUGUCAAAUGACAUGUAUAAGGCCACUAGCUUAGUGCUAGGCACAUAGAUGGGGCUUGGUAAAUUAGGGGUAUUAAGUACUAUGAUCUUAAACAAGGUGAUCUAUCUAGUGGCAGAAGAAGAGGAUUUAACUAUAUAAGCAGUUUACUGAACAGUUUUUUUUACCCUUUGUACACAUGUUUAUACAAGGAGUAAGAAGCAUCAUUUGCUUUAAGAGUAGCACCAGAUCUCUCAAGGUCCAAGUCACUAGUCAUGAUAGAUGGUCAGGCUCGUGGAUUGUGAGGACACUUACAGAACUUGGCCAGACUUGUUUAAAAGUGAAUUGGAGGGGGAUCCCUGGGUGGCUCAGCGGUUUAGCACCUGCCUUCGGCCCAGGGUGUGAUCCUGGGGUCCCGGGAUCAAGUCCCGCAUCGGGCUUCCUGCAUGGAGCCUGCUUCUUCCUCUGCCUGUGUCUCUGCCUCUCUCUCUCUAUGUCUCUCAUGAAUAAAUAAAUAAAAUCUUAAAAAAAAAAAGUGAAUUGGAGUUGGGGCGCCUAGGUGGCACAAUUAGUUAAGCCUCUGACUCUUGGUUUUGGCUCAGGUCAUGAUCUCAGGGUCCUGGGAAUGAACCUAGCGUUGGGCUCCGUGCUCAGUGGGGAGUCUGCUUGAAAUUCUCUCUCUCCCUCUGCCCCUCCCCCUGCUUGUGCAUGCUCCUGUGCUCUAAGUAAAUAAAUCUUAAAAAAAAAAGUGAAUUGGAGUUAACUAAAUUUAUUGUGGUAAUUAUUUCUCAACAUAUACAUCUAUCAAAUCAUUAUGUUGUAUAUUUUUAAUACAAUAUUAUGUGCUAGUCAUAUUUUAAUAAAACUGGAAAAAAAAAGGGAAACUAUCCUCACUGAAAAAAAAGUGAAUUGAGUGAAAAAGUUUUGGAAAUG
rnacentral:lncRNA from 1 species